rnacentral:rRNA from 1 species
AUUGAACGCUGGCGGCAUGCUUUACACAUGCAAGUCGAACGGCAGCGCGGGCUUCGGCCUGGCGGCGAGUGGCGAACGGGUGAGUAAUGCAUCGGAACGUGCCCCGUAGUGGGGGAUAGCCCGGCGAAAGCCGGAUUAAUACCGCAUACGACCUGAGGGUGAAAGCGGGGGACCGAAAGGCCUCGCGCUAUUGGAGCGGCCGAUGUCGGAUUAGCUAGUUGGUGGGGUAAAGGCUUACCAAGGCGACGAUCCGUAGCUGGUCUGAGAGGACGACCAGCCACACUGGGACUGAGACACGGCCCAGACUCCUACGGGAGGCAGCAGUGGGGAAUGUUGGACAAUGGGGGCAACCCUGAUCCAGCCAUGCCGCGUGCGGGAAGAAGGCCUUCGGGUUGUAAACCGCUUUUGUUCGGGAAGAAAUCCUCUGGGCUAAUACCCCGGGGGGAUGACGGUACCGGAAGAAUAAGCACCGGCUAACUACGUG